ACUGACCCUACGGGGGGCAGCAGUGGGGAAUAUUGCACAAUGGGCGAAAGCCUGAUGCAGCGACGCCGCGUGGGGGAUGAAGGCCUUCGGGUUGUAAACCCCUUUCAGCAGGGAAGAAGCGAAAGUGACGGUACCUGCAGAAGAAGCGCCGGCUAACUACGUGCCAGCAGCCGCGGUAAUACGUAGGGCGCAAGCGUUGUCCGGAAUUAUUGGGCGUAAAGAGCUCGUAGGCGGUCUGUCGCGUCUGCUGUGAAAA
rnacentral:rRNA from 1 species